rnacentral:rRNA from 1 species
CCUACGGGAGGCAGCAGUGAGGAAUAUUGGUCAAUGGACGAGAGUCUGAACCAGCCAAGUAGCGUGAAGGAUGACUGCCCUAUGGGUUGUAAACUUCUUUUAUAUGGGAAUAAAACGUUCCACGUGUGGGAUUUUGUAUGUACCAUAUGAAUAAGGAUCGGCUAACUCCGUGCCAGCAGCCGCGGUAAUACGGAGGAUCCGAGCGUUAUCCGGAUUUAUUGGGUUUAAAGGGAGCGUAGGUGGAUUGUUAAGUCAGUUGUGAAAGUUUGCGGCUCAACCGUAAAAUUGCAGUUGAAACUGGCAGUCUUGAGUACAGUAGAGGUGGGCGGAAUUCGUGGUGUAGCGGUGAAAUGCUUAGAUAUCACGAAGAACCCCGAUUGCGAAGGCAGUUCACUGGACUGCAACUGACACUGAGGCUCGAAAGUGUGGGUAUCAAACAGGAUUAGAUACCCUUGUAGUC